rnacentral:tRNA from 1 species
AGCAGUGUGGCUUAGUGGAAAGAGCACGGGCUUAGGGGGUCAGAGGACGUGGGUUCUAAUCCCAGCUCCGCCA